CCAAUACCAUCACAGUGACCACAAAGACCUAAGUUAGGUGACCAGCCAAUACCAUCAUAGUGACCAGAAAGACCUAAGUUAGGUGACCAGCCAAUACCAUCACAGUGACCACAAAGACCUAAGUCAGGUGACCAGCCAAUACCAUCACAGUGACCACAAAGGGCCAAAAGCUCAAAGAUGUGGCAGAGUGUAAGACUGCAAGGUGGGAGCACCAUAACCAUCCCGAGGGAGGAAGAUAUUUGAGGGUCGGGCUCCUUAUUGGAGUGAUCUCUUCCAGUGCAGGGGUCGCUAGAGGUUCUCUAAGGGAGACUGGGUUUGAGCUGAGGUUUGAGGUGUGGAUUUCAUUUCAAGAGGCAGGGAAGGGAAAUUGUGCCUUUUACAGGUGAGAUUGUCGGAAUGAGUAAAUUUACAAGACCAGGAUAAGGACAAAUAGGUUUCUCAGAAAGAGGUGCCUGCGGUCCUGUUUUUCCUGCGUCUUUCAAGCACUUCUCCCCAUUCCCCACGAUUCGUCAGUCUUUGCCACCUGGGAAGGUGCUAUGUGAUUUCCACAGAGUGGUCAGAAUAAUCUCCCGAAGAGCUUUUGGAAAGCCCCAGGCCCUUUGUGGCACUUGCCAGGGACAGAGCUUUCAACCUCCAGGGGCCAAAAAUCACAUCGUAUUCUAGGUGAAUUUUGCCCCCUUGGAGCGCACCUCCCUAGAAUGUGAGACCGUUAGCGCCCCCUGCUGUCUGGGGAUCCGGAGGUGGUGGGAAGAUGUCCCCCUGCUGUGCAGGCUGCAUGACCUGCUCCUCAAACACAGCCUCCACUUGUUCCCAUGCCGGAGGGAGCAUCGGGCUGUGGACGAGGGUCUCUCCAAUUCGAUGGAAAUUCCUUGGAGGCUGGAACUGGGACUUUCGCCCGCUCUUCACCACUUGCUCACACCACAGCACUCAGCACACAGAAGACACAGGCUGUUGCUGCUGUUGGUUGAACCAAAGAAAUCUCUGGGUUCUUUAUGAGGGCUGGGAUGAGAGAAGUGGCUUAGAUUAUGCUCUGGUUAUCUAGUGCUGUGUAACGAACCAUCCUACAGCCUGGUGAGAUAAAACAAGAAGCAUUUAAUUAUGCUUAUAGAUUCUGUGGGACAGAAAUUUAAAUAUGGCACCCCCAGGGUGGCUUGUCUCUGUUCCACAGUGUCUGAGGACUCAGCUGGGAAGACUAGCGUGUCUGAGGGGGACUCAAGGAACAGGAGCUGGAGUCAUCUGGAGACUUCUUCACACAUGUCUGGUGCCAGACUGAUGCUAGGAUGCCAUGACAACUGGCUCAGGGGGUUACCCACCAGAGUGCCUACCUGUGGCCCCUUCAUGUGACUUGGGCUUCCUUCAAGCAUGGUGGCCUCAGGGUCAUCAUACUUGUGACCUGGAGGCUCAGAGCUCUAAGAGCAAGUGUUCUGGUAAACAAGCCCUUUUAUACCCAGACUCAGAGGCCAGUUCCACCAUCUUCUGUUGAUCAGAGCAGUCACAGACCCUUCCACAGUCAAGGGGAGAGAUGCCUCACCUUCGGUGGAAAGAACGUCAAAGCAUUUGAGGCCAUGCUUUAAAACUGCCACAGAUCCACCCAAAUGGAGAAUGUCCCUCAGUAUCAGAGACAGAGCAGGUUCACAGGGACACGUAGCAGCAAGGUCUCCAGGCGAGGCAGCCAGCAGCGCCACCCGUGGGAGCUGCUCUGGGUCUGGGCACAGGUGCUUCCAUUGUCGUCUGAGCACAAGGCUCAGACCUUCAGUCACAUCAACCUGAGGACUGUGAAGAACUUUCAUGCCAAACUUCCUCCAAGAAGCUCUUUCUGGUCCCCAAGGGUCCAUAUUUCCCAUGACUUCUCUGAUUCAGGAAGAUGAUCCUUGCAGGGCCUCUCCUGGGGCAGUGUUAACCAGACUCAAUGUGCUACUACCGUUGGUGGCAUUUAGUUCCGAUGCUUCUCCCUUGGGCCUUGUCCUCAAAGUCCUGGACCCAGCCUGUGGCCCUGGAGGAAGCUUAUCUUUGUUUGACCUUUUAUCUGAACAACCAUGGGGAUUUCCAGUUUCCAGUUUGGGAUUCUAGUGUACGUCUGUGCAGUGCAUCAUGGACUGACUUCACCCCCUCGAGCAUUACUUUAAAUGUUUAGAGAUAAACUUUGUCAUCUGUGCAUCACUGUGACAGCUACGAAACUAGAAAAGAGAACAUUGAGGCUAUUUUGGGUAGCAUUUUUUUUUUUCAAUUCAAAUAAUCUUGAGUUCCUUAAGACUUACCAGCACUUUUUGGCCAUCUGGUCAGAUUCGUUUGCCACUGGAAAAGCAUUUUACUGUUAGAAUGUUGGGUCCAGGAAUGUCCUCAAUGGGAGCAGCAUGACUUAGAAUGGAAUCUUUGCCUAUUACUCAGACUUGCAACUUGAAUCUCCCAGGAGAAGCUGCUGAUUUUGGUGCUGGAAAAUAUCCUACGAGGACUAUUCUAAGUUAUAUCUCAAGCUGCUUUCCGAACUAAGGAUGCUCUUAUCAGCUUCUGGAACUUUAAGCAAGAGGCCUACUAGGCACAAGCCUUGAUGUUUCAUGAAGAAAUUAUCUUCCUAUUUAUCUUUAAAAGAAUUCAUUUCUAUUUUGAGGGUAAUCCAAGAUAAAAAGGGGCGAUGAGAUGUAGAGAGUGACGGAAGCAAGAGAUGGGAGAAGGAGAUGGGAGCUUGGAGAAGACGUUAGGGAGUGAUAAAGUCACCUGGAUGGAAAUGCAUCUUCUCAGGCUUGGAGCUUCCAGAGUGGGAGAACUCUGUAUUUCUGUGUUUUUGGGAUAUCUCAGUGCCUGGCUCAUGGGAGGACCUCAGGAAUGGAUGGGGGGAUCAAUAGCAACCUGGGGGGUGAGUUUCAGGCAGGAUUCACCCUGGCAAAAUAGCAGUGCCUGGCACACAGAAGACACCAAGCUUGUUAAAUAGCUGAAGAGGAGCUGUCACCUUCAGCCCCAUGCCAUAGCUCGGAUGCAGGCCAUCGUUGGAAGAGGUCCUAAUGACAUCAGAAAGGCGCUGGCAGCCAUAAAUACCCUGAGGUGUUUGGCACCGUACAAAGUGCUUGGGUUUUGGGUUCUGUGGAAGGUUGUUUCUAAAGAUGGUGGCCAAAAUCCUGGCAAGUCCUUAUGCCCUUUUGAAAUGUGGCUUUGUCUCUCCUCUCAUCCUGAGGUGGAGUCCACCGCCUCUCCCGUGGAGUCUGGGAUGGCCCUUUGACCUGCUUUGACCAACAGAAGUAGAAGAAGCAAUGCUAUUUUACAUCCAAAUGUAGGCUUUAGUCUACCUUGUGGUUUCCAUUUUCACUCUUUGGGAGUCCUGAGCCACCACAAAAGGAAGUCCCUCUAUCCUUCUGGAGAAAGCACGUGAAGAAGGAGAGACCCCGGAGAGGGAAACUUGGUGAGAGAAGAGAGGCCUUGGAGGGGGAAAGACCACGGGGCGAGAGGCCCCACUGAGGGGCAGACACAUGAGUGAGGCCUUCUUGGAUCUUCCAGACAAAAGCACAACCUCCUCGGAGAAGCCAGUCAAUACCCUGUGGAGCAGAGAUGAGCACCCCGGCUGAGCCCUGCCCAGCCAACCCACAGGAUUAUGGGCAAUAAAGUAGUUUUUGUUUUAAGCCAUCAAGUUUUGGGCUAAUUUGUUACAUAGCAAUAGAUAACAGAUACAAACUCACCUAGGUUCUAAUUCCAAUUCUGCAUUUGUUAAUUGUGUGACUGUGGGCGAUUUUUUUUUUAGCUUCUCC
rnacentral:lncRNA from 1 species